rnacentral:rRNA from 1 species
UACGUAGGGGGCCAGCGUUGUUCGGAUUCAUUGGGCGUAAAGGGUGCGUAGGUGGCGCUGUAAGUCGGGUGUGAAAUUUCGGAGCUUAACUCCGAAACUGCAUUCGAUACUGCGGUGCUUGAGGACUGGAGAGGAGACUGGAAUUCAUGGUGUAGCAGUGAAAUGCGUAGAGAUCAUGAGGAAGACCAGUGGCGAAGGCGGGUCUCUGGACAGUUCCUGACACUGAGGCACGAAGGCCAGGGGAGCAAACGGG